UGCCAGCCGCCGCGGUAAUACGGAGGGGGUUAGCGUUGUUCGGAAUUACUGGGCGUAAAGCGCACGUAGGCGGAUUAGUAAGUUAGGGGUGAAAUCCCGGGGCUCAACCCCGGAACUGCCUCUAAUACUGCUAGUCUUGAGACCGAGAGAGGUGAGUGGAACUCCGAGUGUAGAGGUGAAAUUCGUAGAUAUUCGGAAGAACACCAGUGGCGAAGGCGGCUAACUGGCUCGGUACUGACGCUGAGAUGCGAAAGCGUGGGGAGCAAACAGGAUUAGAUA
rnacentral:rRNA from 1 species